UUAACAUAAAUUUCUAAUUUUUACAAUUUAGUUACUUUUAUAGCAAUAAAUAAAUAUAUAUAAAAACAAUAAAUUGAGUACUUUUGUCAAGCCUCUUGUUAUUCUCUGCCGUCCAGCAUACUUCCGCUGAUGGAAGCUUCACGAAGAGUAUAAACUAUAAUGGUCUAGUCAGAAAAGAGAAAGACUUUAUUGUAAUUAACCAACGUAAAAAAACGAAGUUGUGUUAUCACUAACAGUGCUACAGUUAAACUGUUGACAGCUAUUCUCUAUGGAAAAGACUAUAGAUCUG